CCUUUGGGUGGGGAAUAACUCAGGGAAACUUGAGCUAAUACCGCAUAAUGCAGCGGCUCGACAUCGAGACAGUUGUUAAAGCGGGGGCUUCGCAAGAACCUCGCGCCUGAAGAGAAGCCUGCGGCAGAUUAGCUAGUUGGUAGGGUAAUGGCUUACCAAGGCGACGAUCUGUAACCGGCCUGAGAGGGCGGUCGGUCACACUGACACUGACAUACGGGUCAG
rnacentral:rRNA from 1 species